AUUGAACGCUGGCGGAAUGCUUUACACAUGCAAGUCGAGCGGCAGCACGGGGGGCAACCCUGGUGGCGAGCGGCGAACGGGUGAGUAACACAUCGGAACGUACCCUGUCGUGGGGGAUAACGAGUCGAAAGAUUCGCUAAUACCGCAUACGACCCGAGGGUGAAAGCGGGGGAUCGCAAGACCUCGCGCGACUGGAGCGGCCGAUGGCGGAUUAGCUAGUUGGUGGGGGUAAAGGCCCACCAAGGCGACGAUCCGUAGCGGGUCUGAGAGGACGGCCCGCCACACUGGGACUGAGACACGGCCCAGACUCCUACGGGAGGCAGCAGUGGGGAAUUUUGGACAAUGGGGGGCAACCCUGAUCCAGCCAUUCCGCGUGAGUGAAGAAGGCC
rnacentral:rRNA from 1 species